UACGUAGGGGGCAAGCGUUGUCCGGAUUUAUUGGGCGUAAAGAGCGUGUAGGCGGUUUGGUAGGUCCGCUGUGAAAACUCGAGGCUCAACCUCGAGACGCCGGUGGAAACCAUCAGACUAGAGUCCGGAAGAGGAGAGUGGAAUUCCUGGUGUAGCGGUGAAAUGCGCAGAUAUCAGGAGGAACACCAAUGGCGAAGGCAGCUCGCUGGGACGUGACUGACGCUGAGACGCGAAAGCGUGGGGAGCGAUCCGG
rnacentral:rRNA from 1 species